CUGGAUAUUAUCUGUCCUAAACUACGACCUGUGAACCCCCAACUGUUCAGCGACAGAGAGAAACAGCAGCUGGUUGCUCUGAUUCACACCAUGAUCUCCUAUAACCUGUCCUACAGACAGGACAGAACGGCGGAUGGACAAUAUGUCUACGUUCUGGAGCCGCGUGUGGAGCAGGUGGUCUGUUUCCCAGGCUUGCCCCCCCACAGACAGCUGACCUACCAGAUGUGUGUGUGUGUGUGUAGGCGU